CCGCACGAGUAAAGCACCGGGCAGCGCCAUCUUUAAACUACAAUUUCUUCUUCUGGGCAUCGCGCUGAAGCAGACACCAGCGGCACACUUUGGCGAGGAGGCUGGUGGUCCUUGGGCAACGACACUACAGCAGACCCUCCUUCCUGUGUGGCCACUUUCAUCCCCUGGAUCAGUGAGACCACGGCCCAAAACUGAAGAAGUUUCCAUAACCGAAGAAGUGACUGGACAAUAAACUGUAUAAUGACAUUUUAA